GCCAGAAGCCAGGCUCAGGGCUGGCGAGCUCAGAGGUGGAGGGAGCCUCUCCUGCCUCUGCAGCAGCGCUAAGGAUGGAGACUAUGUGGGCAUAGAACUUGAAGCUUCUGUUGAAAUGGAAUUAAAUCUUACCUGAUUAUUGGACGUAGACAAACACGGCCAUCGUUUCCUCUAGGGCCUCCUGGGACGCCCGUGACACCUCACUGAGGCCUAAAGGCUCUGGGGCCAGGGAAGCAUGUUUGAGUUACUAAGUUACUUAAUCACAAGCAGGGGACUACUUUUCUGAAAUACCCAGGCUUCUGCAUAAAAUUACAGUCUCACCCAAAAUAUUUCACAUGUUCUUGAAAAUGAGAAUGUCAUUUUCACUUUAAAAGGCUCAAGCACUUUCCAAUAACAUCUUUUUUAAAAUGCAUGAUAUAAUGGUGUUGAUACGAUUGGAAAUAUUUUUUUUAAAUGACUGUUUCUUGGUAACUGCAAAUUUUACAUCUCAUUGGAGGGAGUUUUGUACUAAAUUUGAUAACUAGUUGAUUUAAUUGCUAGUCUUAGAAAAUAUCAAAGUAGUUAGACCAUGCAAUAGAAAGUCAUUUAUAUUCAGAAUUGCUUUUACCUGUGAAUUUGAUGCACACUUUCCAGAGAACUCCCCCGAUGCUGUCCUUCGGGACCAUGAGGCCUGCCUGCGCACCUCAUCCUCUUGCUCUGCAUUUGCUUUGCACACUGGGUUACCAUGACAACCCCCCACCAAAUGCAGCACCAUUUCUCUAUGAAAGGGCACCUGUGGGCUCUCACUGGCUCUUCUGAAAGGUGGCCACCCUGAGGGCAGCCCACCUGGAGAAGGUGGCCGGCUACCACCAGGGAGCGUGGUGGGGUCCCUCCUUCACGACACUCCAGCCCCGAUAGCCAUUCAGACCCUCCGGGCAGCCGUCACCUGGGCCCACUGGACUGAAGGCUUUGCACUUGGGGGACAGCCGGGUAGACCAGCCUUCUCAGCCACGUGGCUUUGCUAACAUAGAAAGAUGCAACUUCUUCAAGGCUUUGUGCUGCUUUCGCAAAUGCAAAACUCAGCCCCACACACGCGCCCAUCGCUGUGCUUCUUAACUGCCUUGUUCAGAAACCAUCUUACGUGUGUAUUGUUGCAAAUAGUCUGGCACCCAUUUAAAUUAACCUUUUUUUUAAUGCUAUAAAAAUAAUCAGUUCAUUUCA